AGGCAACAAAAUAUCAAAGCUUUUUCGUACAUUCAUUUGAGCCUAAUUAAACUGUGCCCACUUACAUUAACUGCCAAAGCAAACCAUUCCUAUGUCUGCACGACUCUUUCUAUUUCAACAAUAUGUAUAUGUUGCUGUCUCAACUUCUUUUGGCGUUUUCAUCAAACACUUCUCUUCUUUUUCUUCUCCUUCUCUUCCCUUUCUAUCUCUAUUUUGAAAGAGAUGAAUUUGCUUGAGAUAUAUUGAGUGGAACCAACCAUUUUGCUUAAAUUAGAAGAAAUUUGAAGUUGAACAAAAAUAGCUUGGAGAAAGGCAAAACAGUUCCAAGACGUAUAAAGAGGCAAAGAUAAGCUAAAAAAGGACUGGAGGUAUCACCUCAAUGCUAGGUUUGGCACUAGAGACCUAAGGCUACAUAACAAGAUUGCAUUAGGACCAACUUUUUCAAGAAAUGCAUUAUCUAAACGUUUUGUGGCACUCUCCCAAAAAUGCAUCCCUUUUUUGGUCAUACCAGUUGUCUUACAGAAACUUGUUUGAGGCUACAUUUACCAAACCGUAAUGAAAAUUAAUGUAGUUGUAAUGAAAUUUUAUUGUUAGAUUAAUUGUAAUGAACGCCAAUCCCAAAUGUAA